CUCUUCCCCCCUCCCCCCCAGCCGUCGGGGGGCACAGAGGACCGCGACUCUGGCCUCCCACCCCAACGAGCGACUCAAGCUCUCUCGAGGGGAGCUGGCAGUCAGAUCCCUGCCUGCCCAUAGCCAUAGAGUGUCAGUAUGGCUGGGGGACAGGACAUCAGCCCUCUUUGGGCUUGGCCUUUGGGAGGACAAGGACUUCACCACCACCACCACCACCACCACCUUUCCUGCUGGCUCUAAGAAUGAAACAGGGAGCUGGGAUGAUGAACUUUCUGGACCCUGACUGAGGGCAGCAAGGAAAUGAAGAAAGGACAGACAUGCAGACACAUGUACAGGAUAUCUGGGGUCCAUAUGCAGGAUGCACUUGGAUGGAGGGUGCCUACCAGCCGGGAACCUCAGCCUAUUUAAGAGGUACAGCACAAGCUGGGGGUGGGGCUGGCUAGUCCUGCUCAAGGUCUCCUUUGGUGAGCUGUCCCAGGCUGUAAGCAUGCAGGAGGAAGAGCUGCACUGCUAACCUUUGAACACACUGGCCUUCUCCCUUACACUCCGAUGUGGGGGAAAGCAUCACCAUCACUCUCGAGCCUGACUUUUUUGGUAAAAUGGCUUUGCAAGCUU